AAGUAGGAUGCAUCAGUAUGGUCUUUUUCAUUUCAGGUUGCUUGUCCUAGACUGACCCAACCCUUGUGCUGAGCCACCUAAGCCAAAAUGCACAUGAUGCAUAUAAGCGUUCGUACUAGGGAUCCAGCAUGAAGUUGAGUUAUUCUAGGUUCAGAACCUGGGUGUUUGUUUCAUACCUGGCUUACCCAAGUGGUCAACCCGAGCCGAGGGGGAGGCAGCGUACCGGGAAUACAGAAGCUUCUCCGUCUUUGCAACUUAUCCAAACCUCGAUCUAAAUUGGGAAUUAGAUACUAUACAGAAAAGAAGUCAUACGAAGUGCACCCUUCUUCAUGAUUUAGAAGACCCAUAGAGGAUAUGGGUUACGGCAUAGUUUAUAUACAAUUCACAUAAUAUCAAAGCGGUAAAAUACGUCAAUUAGCACAUUAGGCACAGAUCAUGUAACAAAAUUAGAUAACGUCAAACACUACUAUUAUUCUAAGCUCGAAUUCUGAACCCUGAAAAAAACGUUUUGGGUUCUUAUCCUAGCAGUGUCGCCAGAGCUGUCACAUCUCCUUUUUUACUACACCCCGCGCAUAAAUGAGUUUUUUCACUUAAAGGGCAAUUGAAGCGGGAUUUAUUAUUAAAAAUCAGAGUCGCCACUUGGGAGAUUAAGGGUGUCCCAAGUCACCGGUUGAAUCCCGAACCGAGAAAAAUAUGACUCUGUUAACAGUCCGUUGACCAAAAAUCUAAGUAAGGAAUUCUAUUAACCUGGGAGAAGGUGUUGGGCAUUCUCGGAUUCCCCGGAUCUAGCACAGUCGAUCAACCGUUGUAUUUAGCUUAUUUAUUUA
rnacentral:lncRNA from 1 species